GAUUGCCUUAGUAACGGCGAGUGAAGCGGCAACAGCUCAAAUUUGAAAGCUGGCUCCUUCGGAGUCCGCAUUGUAAUUUGUAGAGGAUGAUUCGGCGAGGGCUCCCGCCUAAGUCCACUGGAACGUGGCGUCAUAGAGGGUGAGAAUCCCGUAUGCGGUGGGUUGCCUUAGCCAUGUGAAUCUCCUUCGACGAGUCGAGUUGUUUGGGAAUGCAGCUCUAAAUGGGAGGUAAAUUUCUUCUAAAGCUAAAUACCGGCCAGAGACCGAUAGCGCACAAGUAGAGUGAUCGAAAGAUGAAAAGCACUUUGGAAAGAGAGUUAAAAAGUACGUGAAAUUGUUGAAAGGGAAGGGCUUGCAACCAGACUUGUCCGCAGUUGCUCAGCCGGUCUCCUGACCGGCGUACUCUUCUGCGGCCAGGCCAGCAUCAGUUCGGGCGGUCGGAUAAAGACCUAGGGAAUGUAGCUCCUCUCGGGGAGUGUUAUAGCCCUGGGUGGAAUGCGGCCAGCCUGGACUGAGGAUCUCGCUUCGGCAAGGAUGCUGGCGUAAUGGUUGUAAGCCGCCCGUCUUGAAACACGGACCAAGGAGUCUAACAUCUAUGCGAGUGUUUGGGUGUCAAACCCAUACGCGUAAUGAAAGUGAACGGAGGUGGGAACCCGCAAGGGCGCACCAUCGGCCGAUCCUGAUGUCUUCGGAUGGAUUUGAGCAAGAGCAUAGCUGUUGGGACCCGAAAGAUGGUGAACUAUGCCUGAAUAGGGUGAAGCCAGAGGAAACUCUGGUGGAGGCUCGCAGCGGUUCUGACGUGCAAAUCGAUCGUCAAAUUUGGGUAUAGGGGCGAAAG
rnacentral:rRNA from 1 species